CACUGCUAUCUGUCGUACGUGCAGUGGUAUAUGAGCAGACAGGCUAACGUCCCGGCUCCAGCAAAUACCUAGAACAUGGAUGCCCUGUGUGAGGUGAGACCAGGAGCUUGCUAGAUUUGUCAGGCUAUGAGAUGUGUCACAAAUAGAUAGAAACAACACAAGGGUUCCACUUAGUAUUAAAACAUUGCUAAUCAGGUUUAUGAUGCUACCACUGCUUGGGUGAACAAUUAUUAUAACAUGGUAGUAUCUUAGCUACGCAUUAGGUUCUACUGCAUGUUUUAAUAUAUAUAUAUUGAUGUCGCUUUUAAAGUAUUUUCUCCAGUUUUGCUCAAUUGAGCAGGUGAGGUACACGUUUAGCUAUGACAAAACUGCAUAAAACGGCAUAUGAUCUGCACUAGGGCUCAGGGUCAUUUAGUGUUAGGUAAACAGGCUAGGUAGGGAGACAGUUAGAGUGCCAUUGGUUACUAGGCUAGGAACAUGUAUGGACAUAUAUAG